rnacentral:tRNA from 1 species
GUCAUCAUAGCCUAGUGGUAUCUUGGUGGUGGGAUAAGGCUUAUGACCAUUAGGUCGUGGGUUCGAUUCCCACAAAGGGGG